rnacentral:rRNA from 1 species
CCUACGGGAGGCAGCAGUGGGGAAUCUUGCGCAAUGGGCGAAAGCCUGACGCAGCCAUGCCGCGUGAAUGAUGAAGGUCUUAGGAUUGUAAAAUUCUUUCACCGGGGACGAUAAUGACGGUACCCGGAGAAGAAGCCCCGGCUAACUUCGUGCCAGCAGCCGCGGUAAUACGAAGGGGGCUAGCGUUGCUCGGAAUUACUGGGCGUAAAGGGAGCGUAGGCGGAUAGUUUAGUCAGAGGUGAAAGCCCAGGGCUCAACCUUGGAAUUGCCUUUGAUACUGGCUAUCUUGAGUGUGGGAGAGGUAUGUGGAACUCCGAGUGUAGAGGUGAAAUUCGUAGAUAUUCGGAAGAACACCAGUGGCGAAGGCGACAUACUGGCCCAUUACUGACGCUGAGGCUCGAAAGCGUGGGGAGCAAACAGGAUUAGAUACCCUGGUAGUCCACGCUGUAAACGAUGAGUGCUAGUUGUCGGCAUGCAUGCAUGUCGGUGACGCAGCUAACGCAUUAAGCACUCCGCCUGGGGAGUACGGUCGCAAGAUUAAAACUUCAAAGGAAAUUGACGG